UACGUAGGGUGCGAGCGUUAAUCGGAAUUACUGGCGUAAAGCGUGCGUAGACGGUUUCGUAAGUCGGGUGUGAAAGCCCCGGGCUCAACCUGGGAAUUGCAUUCGAGACUGCGUAGCUAGGGUGCGGAAGAGGGAAGCGGAAUUUCCGGUGUAGCGGUGAAAUGCGUAGAUAUCGGAAGGAACAUCAGUGGCGAAAGCGGCUUCCUGGUCCAGCACCGACGUUCAGGCACGAAAGCGUGGGGAGCAAACAGG
rnacentral:rRNA from 1 species